UAUCAGAUUAGACUGUGCUUUCAGAGAAUGGUCGAGACCUCUCUGUGAGAGCAGACUAUCACAAGUAUGAAUUCAGUUUUGUUUCCGUUUCCAGUUACAAACAAUUGUUUGUUAUGGAGUAUUGUCCAAAUUAAACUUUUCUGUUAUGGAACUUUGGUGUCACCAUACACCGGAGUAGUGCCAACUCUGGAGGCACCAUCAUGCUGGUGGACUUUGUCAACACUCAUGACUGCUUUCCAAGUAUGCAACACUUAAAUAAAGAUAGGUUUACAGUCUUUUUCAAGUUGGGACUUGACAAUGGGAAGUCUAUGAGCAGGCGAAGAAACUAGGUGAUCAGGCUAGUCUUGCCUUGAGCUACAUUCCUUUUCCCUUAAGUCACAUUUAUUCUGUGAAUUUCUGUACCAGCUCCUGCUUUGUGCGAGGGGUUGAUGUUCAAGUUAGCAACUUGGUAAACAAACUACUUUUAUUUCCCUUCCUUAAUUGUCAAGCGCAAGAGUCACGAGAAGGAAAAUAACUUUUCCUAUCAUGUACCCAAAGAACUCGAGACGGUCCCUUACACUAUAAGCAAUAGUGUGCAGAAUGUUUUGCUGUGUCGUCUCAAUAGGACGAAUAGCAAGUUCUGUUUACAUUUUCUGUUGGUCAACUAAUGUCACUCAGUACCUGCCCAGUAACGGCUAACAAAGGCUUUCAUUUCCCUGUCUCCACUCCACUCAACGUGAGAGAGAUUUUACAGUCAACCCCACUGACAUGCAAUGUCAGAUAAAGGUUCCCACAGUUUGCCAAACAACCUGGAACGUUUCAUUACAAGUAAUGAGCAGUAUUACCAGUGUAUGGUAGUAAAGGUAUCACUUUGACACUUAAGUCUCUUUCAGGUAUGCACUGCAUACUGAGUAAAAAGCCUUUGUUCAUUUUCUAUUCAAUUAGAGUGGUGACACACUAGACUUCCCAGCACAGGGUGACAAGUACUUGAUUCCUAAAAUCACCAGGACCGAGGCUGUCUUUGUAUGACACUCAACGUUCAAUUAGAGUGUUCAAACACUGACUGUCCCAGACCAAGGUGUCCUUUUAAUUACAAAGAUCACCAAGCUCUAGUAUGUCAUUGUGACACUUUGUGAACAAUUCAGAACAAGGUAGAUGUUAUCUACUGCGUCCUUCAUGUCAAUCUUUACGAUGACAUAAGGUCACAUGCUUUCACCAGUGGGAUAGCUUUUUUGUGACUAAGCUCACCAGUUUUACGGUGACUUUCUUUUUUGAAGGUGGAACCCAACACAAGGGGACUCUCACAAUGAACACACUUAAUUUGUAUUGUGUCUCUUUUUAUUGUUUUUCAACAAUAGAACAAUGGUACGAGCAUGCUUCAGCAUUCAGUCGACAAAAUGACUUGUUUUGGCAUUGUGAUGGACUCACUUCAGACAUGUGCAACUUGACAGGAGCAAAAGUUUGUUUCCAAACAUUUCGAUUUAUCUGAUAAAACAUUAUGACCCAAUGAGAGUAUACUGCAGCGGAUCACUUCAGAGUGUUCCUGUGCAACUCAUCAUUCCAGUAACACUAACAUGUUUCUGGCCGUCACGUUUCAGAUAGAAUAUCUCAAUAACAGAACCAACAGGUUCUAGGGAAAAAGAGCCCUCGUAACUGCAGCAUGGAGCUGAUUGUCGUUACAUAUGAGAUGCAUUUGCACACAAUUUCAUGUCAAGCACUCAAACACUGUCAUUUCUGGUUCACUGUCUCUACUUUACGCACUGAUUAGAUUUAAUGCAAGCACACAGUUCACACAGGGGUCCACUAACGAGGCGUCUUUACAGCACACCUCACCGCCAAACACAUGUAACACAACAGAGAAAUUCACAGAGAUUAGGAUUGCCCUUCUCACACAAGAGUCGGUCAUUCGCUCCGAUUCGUGAUAUUUCAAUCACUCACACUCACCCUAUUUUGCCUUCCUUCCCUUUCCCGAGGAAACUUAAAUGGUCCGUGAAACGACUGCGCCAUGUUCUAGUUGCAUGUGGUUAUCCAGUGUGAGGAUGUAAAAGGAUUAAAUGAGAAGGUCCGAACUCCAGUAUGGUUGAUGAGAUAAGAGAGUCUUUAUUGGUUCAGUACGUCAGAGGUCAGUUCGCAUAGGCGCUGGUGGCGCUAUCCUACGGCAGGUAGCGUAAGCUUUACGUAGACAAUGCAGACGACGGCAGUGAUGCCAACUCACGUCUAGAACAUCUCCCCCCUUUUGGGAGACAAGUAUCUGUCUCUUAACAAGUUGGCUGCACUGACUUAACUAACAGCCUGUUGACAUGAGAAAUUGCAACUGCAAACAACUGGUAAACAAUUCAGUUUUUCUGCUAGUCAGACAAAGCCUGUGUUAGCAAUGGUUGUCUAAGUUUUUGUUGUACUAUUCAAUAUAAUACAGCUCCAACAAUUCGUCAGUUUGUUUACUAGUCUUUGAGACCUCACUGUUAACUGGAAAGUUAUUAGUGGGACUGACGGACAAUAGUUAUCUGGUGGUCUGGUGAUCUAUCCAAGAAGUGAUAGGAACUUUGGGGUUAUGCUGAACCUUUACACGAUUCUGAUAUGUUUUUACAUCAGUUGGUUUUCGGUGAACAGCAGAGUACAUGUGGUGUGCUUGACACUACAGUUUCACUUUGCUUUGGGUCAUAACCCACUACACCUACUUUAACUGUGUCUUAGCCUAAUGCCCUAACUUCGUCAGCGACACAGGUGGUUGUUUUCUUGUGCCAGAGAUAUACAUUUCUGCACUUGAUGUCAAAUGACUUUUGUUACAUAAAGCUCAAAAUGACAUCAUCCA